AGAGUUUGAUCCUGGCUCAGGACGAACGCUGGCGGCGUGCCUAAUACAUGCAAGUCGAACGAACGGAGGAAGAGCUUGCUCUUCCAAAGUUAGUGGCGGACGGGUGAGUAACACGUGGGCAACCUGCCUGUAAGUUGGGGAUAACUCCGGGAAACCGGGGCUAAUACCGAAUGAUAAAGUGUGGCGCAUGCCACGCUUUUGAAAGAUGGUUUCGGCUAUCGCUUACAGAUGGGCCCGCGGUGCAUUAGCUAGUUGGUAGGGUAAUGGCCUACCAAGGCAACGAUGCAUAGCCGACCUGAGAGGGUGAUCGGCCACACUGGGACUGAGACACGGCCCAGACUCCUACGGGAGGCAGCAGUAGGGAAUCUUCCGCAAUGGACGAAAGUCUGACGGAGCAACGCCGCGUGUAUGAAGAAGGUUUUCGGAUCGUAAAGUACUGUUGUUAGAGAAGAACAAGGAUAAGAGUAACUGCUUGUCCCUUGACGGUAUCUAACCAGAAAGCCACGGCUAACUACGUGCCAGCAGCCGCGGUAAU
rnacentral:rRNA from 1 species